GCUAGGGAAGGCCGAGGGCUUUGCCUGCAGGCCAUUGUUAAUAAAACUCAUUACUCUGGGAAUGUUCCGAGGCAGCCCGACCCUUGCCUGCCUAAGAAAAUCAGCCUCUGCUCCUCAUUCUAAGCCCUUAUCCAACGUCCCCACCUGCAAGACCAGUUCCUGAGGGUCGGCAUGAAGAAGAGGAAAAGCACGUGGAGGAUAGAGUAAAAUACGUAGACUAAGAGAGAAAGUAGGAUGCGGUGAUGGAAGUGAGAGCCGCUUGGAAAAAACUGGGAGAGAGGAGGAGGAGGUGGCGCUUGGAGCAGCAAAGACUCUGCGGUGUGUGCGCGUGCGCGCGAGAAAGAAUGGGGAAAGUAAUAGAUACUCGAAAGGCUGACUGGGUUGAUGAAUGGAAUUCCCCUCCGUAAUUUUUGGAGUCAUAAUUUUUGCCCCUUGGACUGUGCUUCUUGAAGUGCAGCGUGCCUGGAGCCCGGGCCGUGGGGCCACUCGGCUACGGAUGCUAUGUGAUCUAACCAGGACCCAGGAAGGGGCCCUCUGGCUGCAGUGAGAGAGGGGUACACGGGGCGACACGCAGUGUUCUCAGGAGGGCGGCACAGCUGCUGCAGGUGAGAAGUGCUGGGGACGGUCGAGAUCACUGGACGCCCUCAGAAAUGGUACUGCGGCUGGAGAAAUCAUUAACGAGGAAAGAAAUAACCCAAUUUCCGGGAGGCUGGGACAGGAGAAUUGCUUGAACCCGGGAGCAGAGGUUGCCGGGAGCCGAGAUCGCGCCACUGCACUCCAGCCUGGGCGACAGAGCGAGAUUCCGUCUCAAAAAAAAAAAAGAAAAGAAAAGAAAAGAAAGGAAAAGAAAAGAAGAGAAAAGAAAGAAACACCCAAUUUCAGAAAGAGAUGAGAAUGGAGAGCUCAGAAGACACAAUUUCUCUCUCACACUUCUGCCUUCUGGCCACAUCCUCCCAGACAGGAUAAAUUUGAAGAGCUAUCUCCAACUUUGCCACCUGAGAAACACAAGUCCAAGUCCAAUACUUACAGAAGAAAUAACUAUUCCACCUAGUCAAGGAACUAGCCAACACUUAAUGGAGGAUUGCCCUUGGUUAUAGAGCUAACUGCAAAUGAAGUAACUAGAGGAAGACCAUUUACCUUCUCCAUUGAAGAGACCAUUCAAGAGCCAACUCAGCAAUCAGGGUCUAGCAGUGUUACUGACUGGAUGACUGGCACUUAGAGUCCAGCACCCUGCUGAGAAACCAGCAACCCAUGUGAGGAUUCCAUGGCCAACUGAGAUCACAAGACUCUUGAACAGAAGAAAUGCCAAGAGAGCUAGAAUCUUACAGAUGGUGGUAUUAAUAAUGGAGCAAACUAGAACCAAUGACAAAGACAUGAAGUCUGAAAAUAGCACAGAGAAUAUAAAUAUUGUGAGAUGAAUGUUCCCCCUUCAAUUCUCCUUAUUUGCCAAAUAUUUUCAUUUCCUUUUGUCAUUAUAGAAAAUAAAACCAUGCAUCACAGUCAAAAGUGCUCCACUAGCAACAUUGUAUGAUUCACUCUUUUUGUCAUACAUGUCUUUAGUAAUUGAUGGAUAUUAAAAUCACACAGACUAUUUAAUAAGGGCUUAUUUUACUUGCAUCGCCACUUUGAUUCAAAAAAAGAUUUAAGGUAGUUAAUAAGGUUAGAAGGAAAGAGAGUUAACAAAGACAAGAACUUUAACUAGAGUCAAAACUAAAGUCAAUAUUUAAGAAAUAAACACCACAUAGUCUCCCACGCUUUCUC
rnacentral:lncRNA from 10 species